GACGUAGGGCGCGAGCGUUUGUUCGGAUUCAUUGGGCGUAAAGGGUGCGUAGGCGGCGCGGUAAGUCGGAUGUGAAAUCUCGGAGCUUAACUCCGAAACUGCAUUCGAUACUGCCGUGCUUGAGGACUGGAGAGGAGACUGGAAUUUACGGUGUAGCGGUGAAAUGCGUAGAUAUCGUAAGGAAGACCAGUGGCGAAGGCGGGUCUCUGGACAGUUCCUGACGCUGAGGCACGAAGGCCAGGGGAGCAAACGGG
rnacentral:rRNA from 1 species